rnacentral:lncRNA from 1 species
UCGUUGAAGGUUGCUUUGUCCAUUUUGGGUGAACACGAUGCGCGAAUGAACAUGCUGCGCGCACCAACAC